GUGGCACAUGGAGGUUCCCAGGCCAGGGGUCCAGUCGGAGUUGUAGCCGCCGGCCCACACCACAGCCACAGCAACGCCAGAUCCCUAACACACUGAGCAAGGGCGGGGAUCAAACCUGCAACCUCAUGGUUCCUAGUCAGAUUCGUUGAACACUGAGCCAGGAUGGGAAUUCCUCUAUCCAUCUUUAAAUGCCGCAUUCUAGACAUACUGAUUUUCUUGCAAUUACUCAUUUCAUAUUUUCUUACCUCCAUGAUUUACAUAGAGACACUCACUGUUGGGAAGAACCUUCUCUGACUUCGCUUGUUUUCACCCAAUUUUUCUUUGUAGCAUCAACUAAAAUACAGCCACCUGAUGAAUAUUGCUUUUCAUCUGAGUUAGGACAUAUUUUAAAAUGAAAUGAGGAGUUCCCGUUGUGGCGCAGUGGUGAACGAAUCCGACUAGGAACCAUGAGGUUGCGGGUUCAGUCCCUGCCCUUGCUCAGUGGGUUAAUGAUCUGGCGCCGUGAGCUGUGGUGUAUGUUGCAGAUGCGGCUUGGAUCCCGCGUUGCUGUGGCUCUGGCGUAGGCUGGAGGCUGCAGCUCCGAUUCGACCCCUAGCCUGGGAACCUCCAUAUGCCCUGGGAGCGGCAAAAAGACAAAAUAAAUAAAUAAAUAAAUAAAUAAAAUAAAAUGAAAUGAGACUAUUAAAAAGCAAACGGGGCCUCAUGGUCACCCUAAUGUUGAAAGCUUUCCUGUCUCCUCAUCUCUUUUCAUUUGAUUUUAGCUAGUCCUUUCUGUCCCUGUAUUUAUAAAUGUUAUGUGCAUUUAAUAAUCUACUCAGGGACUUCUUGCUGUCUCAGUGGGUUAAGGCUACUGUGUUGUCAUUGCUGUGACAUGGAUUCAACCCCUGGCCCAGGAACUUCCACAUGUCAUGGGAGUGGCCAAAUUAAAGCUAAAAAUUAAUUAACCCUAAAAUUAACCCUUUGUAAGAGUCUGUUUCCAUAGAAUGCACAAUUAUCCAGAAUAGGAGCCUUAUUUUGUUCAGCAUUGUACCAUUUCUCAAGUUCAAUUCAUUGCAGGUACUCUAUUUGAUGAAUGGAUUUAACUAUGCAUUUCCAAUAAACUAAUUAUAGCAGAAGACAGUUUUAUGGGAACUUGGUUGAGUUUAUAGUAGUAGUAUUGCUGGGUACUGGUGGGACUGAUGUAAAAGGGAUCAAAUUAGUGGUAGUUAAAUUGGGUUAACUUUCAGAAUGCUUAAGGCUCAGAGUUUGGUUUCUGAUGGAGGAUUAUCUGAUUUGAGCUACAAACAUAUACUUAUAUCAAAACUGGAUUAGUGGGAAUUCCCCUUGUGGCACAGUGGAAAUGCAUCCGACUAGGAACCAUGAGGUUGUGGGUUCAAUCCCUGGUCUUGCCCAGUGGGUUAAGGAUCUGGUGUUGCCCUGAGCUGUGGAGUAGGUUCCAGACACGGCUUGGAUCUGGCCUAGGCAGUAACAGCUCUGAUUAUACCCCUAGCCUGGGAAUCUCCAUAUGCCACGGGUGUGGCCCUAAAAGGACAAAAGACAAAACAAACAAACAAACAAACUGGAUUAGUGGGAAGGACUUACUGUGUUGGCAGGGACUGAACUAGUAUCAGGUCUCUUACCGUGCAUUAAAACAUCCCAAAAUAAUAGCAACUUUAAAAAAGUCAUUUCCUUCUCUGUGUUCUGAUUGCUUUUUUAUGUGUGUAUAUAACAGAUAUGUAUGAAGGAGUAUUUCUAUUAUACAUCUUUACUAUUACAUUAUAUAAUGUGUAUGUAUGUUGAUUUCUAUUUGACUGAAUAACUACCUUGCUAUUAAUAAGCCAUAUGCUUUUUUUGAGGACUGGGGACUAUUUCUUUGUUUUUUCUUAUUGUAACUUUAAACAAUUGAGAUAUAACUGACAUGUAACAUUAUACUAGCUUUGGGUGUACGAUAUAAUGAUUUGAUAUUUAUAUAUAUUUUGAAAGGAUCAUCACAUUGUCUAGUUAACACCCAUCCUUCAACAUAUACAGUUACAAUUUUUUUGUGUGAAUUAUACCCUCUAUAAUAUCGUAUCAUUAACUGUAGUCACUAUGCUGUACAUUAUAUCCCUAUGACUUAUUUUUUUUUGUAACUGAAAUUUCUUACCUUGGGCCAUUUUUAACCAUUUCAUCCACCCUUCAUAUCCCACCUUCAGCAAAUACCAAUCUAUUCUCUGUAUCUUUCAGUUCUUUACACACACACACACACACACACACACACACACACACACACAUUUUGCUUUUCAGGGCUGCACUCAUGACAUAUGGAAGUUUCCAGGCGAGGGGUCUAAUCAUAGCUGCAGCUGCCAGCCUACACCACAGCCACAGCAACGUCAGAUCCAAGCCCAAUCUGCAACCUAUACCACAGCUCACAGCAAUGCCAGAUCCUUUAACCCACUGUGCGAGGAUUGAACACGCUUCUGCAUGGAUACUAGUCAGAUUCAUUUCUGCUGUACCACACCAGGAACUCCCUGUUUUUAAUUUUUAGAUUUCAUAUAUAAGUGAGCCCGUAGGGUUUUGUCUUUCUCUGUAUGACUUAUUUCACUUAGAAAAAUACCUUCAAGAUCCAACCAUGUUAUUGCAAAUGGCAAGACUUCCUUUUUAUGGCUGAAUACUAUUACUUUAUACAUAUGUGCAUAUAUAUAUAUAUAUAUAUAUAUAUACGUAAGUUUAUCAUAGUUUGUUUAUUCACUCAUCAGUAGGGGAUUACAUCUUGUACACACCUUUUCUCUCUUCAUCAGAUCCAUUCCUUUGCCUGACAUAUAGUAGUCAUUUAACUAAUUUUGUUAAAUAAAUGAAAAGUUUUCCCUAUUUAACUCACUUCACUUUCUAUGUUUUGAUUCAUCAAGCUGUUGAUUUUACCUUCACAAAAUAUGAUUAUGUGUUCAAUUAAUAGCAAUAGAAUAUAAAUUUAUAUUUAUUUUGCUUAAAUGAUCCAUACUUUCCAUUACUAUACUAUAACUUUCAUGAGGGCAAAAAAUAUGUCUAUUGUGGACAGUUUUAUUCCCUAUGAAUAUAGAAAUUUACAUAUAAUGUAUUAUUAUAAAAUGUUGAAUGAAUGAAUAAGUUGGAAUGAACAGAGUUAUCUUCAAAGAGGAUGGGGUCUUUAGUUGAUUUGUUUGGGUUUUAUAAAUUUUUCUGGUGUCUUCUCUAAUAUUUUUUUAUCCAGGAUGAACAUUCUUUAGGCAGUCCUAGUGGCUAGAAAUAGCAGCAGUCCUAGUGUAUGAGAUAGUGAAAAUAUCCUACUUUCAUUGAUAUCACUCUUAUAAUUUUGGCUGUCUCCUCAACCCUCCACCUAAAUGGUGUUUGUGAAAACUUCAAGUUAAGAGUUACUGAAUUCAUAUAUUUUGCAAGUAUUUAAGAUUAGUUAGUUAUUUCUAUCAGUAUCUCAUCUUAAUUUCCUGGGCUUUGCUUUCUCAUUCAUCACAUCCUUACGCUCCAAUCUCAGGUCAAGUGAUUAGUUCCCUCUCCCCCUCUUGCCCCCACACUGCUCUUUCUGAGAAAGGCUCCAUGUUUUGGAAAUUACAGAACAUUGAUUCUACUGUGAGUGCAACGAUGGGAAGUGGGAUGCAAGCCUCAGGCUAUCUUUAAAGCUUGGAUUUAAGUGUUUACCACUUGUUGCUCUAGCUUACUAUGCUGAUUUAAACAUUUAUUGAAUAAAGGAAUGAGACUAAAGGAGGGGUGAUUGACAAGAUCUUUGGCAGAAUUUAUCAAGUAACAUUUAGGGAUGAAAGCCAUGCUUUACUGAAGAUUUAUAUUUCUAACUUGUUUAGUUGCCAAUAGGUAAUGCUUUUUAUUUUUUAAGAGGCUAGUUUCUCUUCUGAACAUUCAGAAAAUACAAAACUGAUUUAACAAUUUCAUAUUGGUUUUCUUUAAAAUGCUUAUUAGGUCAAAUAGUCAUCUAAGCUUUAGUCUAACCCAAGAUAGAAGCAAUUGUCCUCCUUUCUUCCCAUUUUUCCAUUAUUUCUGAGUCAUUAUGUGCAUAGUUCCACAGCCACAUCACAUUUUGAAGAGAGGAGAAAAUAUCCUAACUCAUUUAAGGCAAAACAUAUUUAGUAUUCAAAUAAGUAGUCCAUGUCAAGCCAAAUUUUAUUCUAUAGUGGACAGAAUAAGCAUCUUCUUUGACCCAAUCAUUCAUUCAAGAAGCAUUCCUUGAGUGUAUAAUAUAGGUUGGGUACACAGGAUUUGGAUUAUGGAGGAGUAUACAAAGUUGACUGACUGCAAGUGCUUGAGGAACUUAGUCUGGUGGGGAAGACAGAGGCAAUAUAACUGAUGUUAAAGGAAGAAGGAAAGGGGAUAAUGCCUUUUCUUUUGUGGAAGAUCACAGGUAGUAAAAUGUUAUCCAAGAUAUGAAGAGAAGUAAAGUGAUUUCAUUCAAAGGAAGUGUAACAAAAAUCUAGUCAAGUAUAUAUCAUUUGUUUGAGACUAACGGGCUGGAAAGUAAAGAAGUGGGGAGCAGAAUGAUUUGAUUUGGAAGUUUUAAAUGCCAUGUUGACAGUGACAAAAUGAUGAAGGAUAGUCUACAAUAAAGGGUGAUGGAAGUAGGUUGAUACUUAUUAGUAUUCUGACCAGGACAUGAUGAGCAUCAGAGGUAAAGCUCAGGUGAUAACAUAGAGAGGAGAGGGAAGUGUAAACUUUGUUUCUUAGGAGAAAAAAAUCCAUUUAACAUGUGUGUUGAAGGCGACUGGGGAUUUCAGGGUGGGUCCACCAUUGUUGGCUUCUCUGUUGCUUGAGCAUCCCCGGUCUCUUGUUGACCUAACAGAGCUCAAUCUUUUUCUGUGUUUGUACAGUACUUUAAACAAAAAUGAAUAUCAUACAUAUAUAGUACUGUUAAAAUAUUAUCUAAGAAUGGUAACAUCUAAGGGAUUGUGUGAUGAUUUUACCUAUACUGGUAGUGAUAGUAAAAUAUUCGCCCUAGAAAAGCUAGAUUUCUUUCAUCUUUCUCAUGUAUGAAGUAAAGGUCACUAAUUAUCAAUGAUGUUUUAUGAUUUUGUUUUUGUCACAAAACUGAAAAAUAAAAGUCUAUAUGUUUUUGAAAUCUUAAUAUCAAUUCUAUUCACAUUGCAACACAGUUUCGCUGCUAUGGUAGUUUGAUUGGGCAAAAUCAACUGUAUAUAAAGCUAGUUAAAGUCUGUACUGUGUACAAAAGAGCAGUUAAUUAGGAGUUAGGAUCCUAAUUCUUGUCCUGCUUCUGCUAGAAAUAAUUAUAAAAAACUUUGGCAAGUUAUCUAUGUAGCCUAAGUUGUAGGUAACAUUUUAAAAUAUAAAGGUACCCUAGAGAAGAAAGAGGUAAAGAGGUAAGAUUUAGGUGAAAUAACUAAAUGAAAAUUUAAAUAAAAAGUUCUUGUGAUAAAGAACCCUGGAUUACAUUUUAGAAAUUGUCAGUGAUUUAUUGCCUAGAGCAACCAAUUUAUCUGAACACUAUGAAGAAAUGGUUGAAAUACAUGAAAUCUAAAAGUAUAAGAUUCCAGAACAUUUUAUUCAUUGAAUAAGUAUUGAAUAAUUGUCAAAUAU
rnacentral:lncRNA from 1 species